CAGAAGACUUGCCUUCGGGCAGAUCUCCAACCCGUUGUCUAUCAUGCUCUGUUGCUUUGGCAGGCCGGCUCUUGGCGGCCGUCCGGCUUCGGCUGGUCAGCGCCUGCCAGAGGAUCACAAAAUUCACGAGUUAGUGUUGUCCGAGUAUUAUUCAAUAGCUAA
rnacentral:misc_RNA from 1 species